CAUGUGCCUCACACUGAUUGGACCUCUGCGCAGACUGUCUCUUCCCUCGUGAUCUGUGUUAGGAGGCACGGUAGAAGAGAUGAAUAGGCAGGGGGAGCCUGCUAGCGUCUGAUUCUGAGAGGAAAAAAUGGACGCCGGAGGAAAAAGCCAGGGCAAGGACAACAACAGAGAAAGAAGGCUGCAGCAGAAUGGCAAAGAGCUGUGGAGAGCCAACUACAAGCAAGAUUUUGAUCCUUCUUCUGAUAACUCUUCUUCAGGCUGCAUGUUAAGCAAUCUGGGCCAAGGAUGGAAAGAGAAAACCCAGAGAUGAUUUUGGAACCCAAACGUCUGCAUUUUCUGAAGGAGUCUUUUCCAACAUGAAGGUUAAGCUGACAAGGCAUUGGUGUCCGGGGUGCUGGGGGCCUCCUGGCCCAACCAUAUAAACAGCUAUGUAGGAAGCUGCUGGAGAGCCUGAUGAGGGGCAGCUGCUCACAAGUACCUUAGAAAAAUGCUCUUAACCCCACUGCAGGAGAAAAAAUGAGAAGGCUGUUUCCACUUUUCUUUCCCUGGAUCUGGAUGAUUUCAGCUUCUUUAUCCUGAUUUUGAGAGUCCAAUCAUAGAGACUGUUAUACUGAGACUUCAGACCAGCAGCAGCAGCCUCCAACCUCCAGCCAAGGGCAGCUUUGGGACCUCGAAAUCAAGCUUAUCAAUUAUAUUUGAUGAAUGUGUCUGUACACUCAGAAGCAACACUUUGCUCAUGAGUUUAAACAACAACUUGAAAAAGAAUUCCCACAAACAGAAUUCCCACCUACAGCUUAUGUCCACUUCUUGCAGUUAAUCAGUGUAUGGCUUAAAAGACUUGCACGUUCAAAGAGUUUCUGGUCUAAGGUGUUAAAAUAUUUGUAUAGUUUCACCCUUGUACUCGAAUGAGCAGAAGUUGUAGAUGACAAGGUAAACAUUUUCUUUUGGUGGACAGUGGUGCAGACCUGACUAUGAUGUCUCCUGGGUGGCGUUUAUACAGUCCAAAUCCUAUAUCAAAAUCAUCUUCCAUUAUAGGAUUGUCUGGCAGGACUGAAUGAAGCUAGUGAAUGUUAUUUAUUUAUUUAUAUAAUUUCUAUACUUUCCCCCCAAAAAAUCUCUAAGUGGUUUACAACCCAUCUUAAAACAUCAAAUAGGCCAUUAGAAAUAUCAAAACAUCAAAUAGGCCAUUAGAAAUAUCAAAAUAAAACAUUACAAAUGAAAAUCAAAUACAAAAAUGAAGAUCCACAAUUAAAGCAGCAUAAUUGUCAGGAAAAUGAAAUAUUCUAUUAACUGUUGAAAAAUAAUUUACAAAUAAAAAUCAAAUACAAAAAUAAAGGGGGACUCACAGAUAAAGCAUCAUUAAAAUAACUGAGAUAGAACCUGCACCCACACUUUCCCUCCCCGUAAUAUUUCCCAAACACAUCCUUAGCACUCUUCUACAUACAAACCUCAUUCCCAAGCAUUCAUACCAACAACAUUGCUAAGAACAUAAAAACCAACAACAAAAAAUUCUAUAAAUACAUUCAAAGCAGGAGACCAUCUAGGGAGACAAUUGGACCCUUGGAUGAUAAGGGAGUCAAAGGUGUA